GACGAACGCUGGCGGCGUGCUUAACACAUGCAAGUCGAACGGAAAGGCCCUGCUUUUGUGGGGUGCUCGAGUGGCGAACGGGUGAGUAGCACGUGAGUAACCUGCCCUUGACUUUGGGAUAACUUCAGGAAACUGGGGCUAAUACCGGAUAGGAGCUCCUGCUGCAUGGUGGGGGUUGGAAAGUUUCGGCGGUUGGGGAUGGACUCGCGGCUUAUCAGCUUGGUGGUGGGGUAGUGGCUUACCAAGGCUUUGACGGGUAGCCGGCCUGAGAGGGUGACCGGCCACAUUGGGACUGAGAUACGGCCCAGACUCCUACGGGAGGCAGCAGUGGGGAAUAUUGCACAAUGGGCGGAAGCCUGAUGCAGCAACGCCGCGUGCGGGAUGACGGCCUUCGGGUUGUAAACCGCUUUCGCCUGUGACGAAGCGUGAGUGACGGUAAUGGGUAAAGAAGCACCGGCUAACUACGUG
rnacentral:rRNA from 1 species